CCCUUAGAUGUUCUGGGCUGCACGCGUGCUACACUGAUGCAUUCAGCAAGUAUACUUCCUUUGCCGAGAGGCCUGGGCAAUCUUGUAAACAUGCAUCGUGAUAGGGAUAGAUUUUUGCAAUUAUUAAUCUUUAACGAGGAAUUCCUAGUAAACGCAGAUCAUCAAUCUGCAUUGAUUACGUCCCUGCCCUUUGUACACACCGCCCGUCGCACCUACCGAUUGAAUGGUCCGGUGAAGCCUCGGGAUUAUGAACAAUGCCUUUGUUGGCAUUGUUUGUGAGAACUUGUCUAAACCUUAUCAUUUAGAGGAAGGUGAANUCGUANCA
rnacentral:rRNA from 1 species